rnacentral:rRNA from 1 species
UUUUUUGUAUAAUGGGUCAGCGACUUAUAUUCUGUAGCAAGGUUAACCGAAUAGGGGAGCCGAAGGGAAACCGAGUCUUAACUGGGCGUUAAGUUGCAGGGUAUAGACCCGAAACCCGGUGAUCUAGCCAUGGGCAGGUUGAAGGUUGGGUAACACUAACUGGAGGACCGAACCGACUAAUGUUGAAAAAUUAGCGGAUGACUUGUGGCUGGGGGUGAAAGGCCAAUCAAACCGGGAGAUAGCUGGUUCUCCCCGAAAGCUAUUUAGGUAGCGCCUCGUGAAUUCAUCUCCGGGGGUAGAGCACUGUUUCGGCAAGGGGGUCAUCCCGACUUACCAACCCGAUGCAAACUGCGAAUACCGGAGAAUGUUAUCACGGGAGACACACGGCGGGUGCUAACGUCCGUCGUGAAGAGGGAAACAACCCAGACCGCCAGCUAAGGUCCCAAAGUCAUGGUUAAGUGGGAAACGAUGUGGGAAGGCCCAGACAGCCAGGAUGUUGGCUUAGAAGCAGCCAUCAUUUAAAGAAAGCGUAAUAGCUCACUGGUCGAGUCGGCCUGCGCGGAAGAUGUAACGGGGCUAAACCAUGCACCGAAGCUGCGGCAGCGACGCUUAUGCGUUGUUGGGUAGGUGAGCGUUCUGUAAGCCUGCGAAGGUGUGCUGUGAGGCAUGCUGGAGGUAUCAGAAGUGCGAAUGCUGACAUAAGUAACGAUAAAGCGGGUGAAAAGCCCGCUCGCCGGAAGACCAAGGGUUCCUGUCCAACGUUAAUCGGGGCAGGGUGAGUCGACCCCUAAGGCGAGGCCGAAAGGCGUAGUCGAUGGGAAACAGGUUAAUAUUCCUGUACUUGGUGUUACUGCGAAGGGGGGACGGAGAAGGCUAUGUUGGCCGGGCGACGGUUGUCCCGGUUUAAGCGUGUAGGCUGGUUUUCCAGGCAAAUCCGGAAAAUCAAGGCUGAGGCGUGAUGACGAGGCACUACGGUGCUGAAGCAACAAAUGCCCUGCUUCCAGGAAAAGCCUCUAAGCAUCAGGUAACAUCAAAUCGUACCCCAAACCGACACAGGUGGUCAGGUAGAGAAUACCAAGGCGCUUGAGAGAACUCGGGUGAAGGAACUAGGCAAAAUGGUGCCGUAACUUCGGGAGAAGGCACGCUGAUAUGUAGGUGAGGUCCCUCGCGGAUGGAGCUGAAAUCAGUCGAAGAUACCAGCUGGCUGCAACUGUUUAUUAAAAACACAGCACUGUGCAAACACGAAAGUGGACGUAUACGGUGUGACGCCUGCCCGGUGCCGGAAGGUUAAUUGAUGGGGUUAGCGCAAGCGAAGCUCUUGAUCGAAGCCCCGGUAAACGGCGGCCGUAACUAUAACGGUCCUAAGGUAGCGAAAUUCCUUGUCGGGUAAGUUCCGACCUGCACGAAUGGCGUAAUGAUGGCCAGGCUGUCUCCACCCGAGACCC